AGAAACACGUUACAAUUAACUAUUUUUCGUGAAAUAUGAGAUCGUAUUCCGAACGAGUCGCCAUUACGGUCGGUUUUGCAAUUCCGGAGAAGCCAGACCCAUGUGACGCAUUCGUCCAAUCAGCUGCUAUGGGUUGUGUUUGU